rnacentral:rRNA from 1 species
CUGGGUUUGAACUGCUGCGGAAAACCGUAGAGAUACGGUCCCUCCUUCGGGAGUCGCAGUAGAGGUGCUGCAUGGCUGUCGUCAGCUCGUGCCGUGAGGUGUUGGGUUAAGUCCCGCAACGAGCGCAACCCUUACCCUUAGUUGCCAGCGGUUCGGCCGGGGACUCUAGGGGGACUGCCGGUGACAAACCGGAGGAAGGUGGGGAUGACGUCAAGUCAUCAUGGCCUCUAUGUCCAGGGCUACACACGUACUACAAUGGUCGGUACAAAGGGUCGCAAACCUGCGAGGGGGAGCUAAUCCCAAAAAACCGGCCUCAGUUCGGAUUGCAGUCUGCAACUCGACUGCAUGAAGGUGGAAUCGCUAGUAAUCGCGCAACAGCAUGGCGCGGUGAAUACGUUCCC